UACAGAGGGUGCAAGCGUUAAUCGGAAUUACUGGGCGUAAAGCGUGCGUAGACGGUUAUUUAAGUCAGGUGUGAAAGCCCCGGGCUCAACCUGGGAAUUGCAUUUGAGACUGAAUAGCUAGGGUGCGGAAGAGGGAAGCGGAAUUUCCGGUGUAGCGGUGAAAUGCGUAGAUAUCGGAAGGAACACCAGUGGCGAAAGCGACUUCCUGGACCAAUACUGACGCUCAUGUGCGAAAGCGUGGGGAGCAAACAGG
rnacentral:rRNA from 1 species